GUGAUAAAGCUUGUUAUAUUCAUGAUUGUACUAAAUAUGAAGGCUGGCUCAGCUAAGCAUCUGCUGCACUGUCCAAUCUGUAAAAAUGUCCGCCAUUCCAUAUCGGUGAAAUGGGGCUCUGUUUGAAUGUUAAUGCUUUACGCACAAGCUAUUGUUGCGUUACUGGAUCACGGAGACCCAGGCGUUGAAUUCUGACAUCAUGUAGUACAUUAAUGCUACACGGUCAACCAAUAUGCCUUUGAACUUAAGUUGGAAAGCAAUUUAGCCCUUAUUCGGCUAUAUAAGGGUGGAGGGUCAACUUGAAAAACAACUAUUUUGGGUCAAAUCAUCUGAAUUCAUGCAUUUAAUGCACUUAUAAUCUUCUCUUUUGCUAAGAAAUGACCAAAAAUCAGCUUUACCAGUCAUAUUUUGCACUUGCAGAUGAUAUUUCAUUUUUACCUAAAGUUAGUUUAGGUUACAAUAUACCAAAAGAUUUCCUUAACAAAUUCAAUGUAAAAUCAACAACUUCAACGAAAAAUAAAGUCAAACUUUUGCGCGUAGACACCCCCAUACCCAUACCUUUUCUUAAAGAGCAUGCCAAGCCGAAUGGAUUUAAACAAUAAAAAAGAUAGGUCAUGCAGUAUGUAAGAAAGAACUCGACGCGAAUCAACGGUCACUGUUUUAAGGCCACCUUUUUACCGGCUGAUCUCCAGUUGAUGAGGGUUUCCCGCCAUCUGUCAAAAUCUCAUGUAGUCUCCAACCUAUAAGCAAAACACUGAAUUUGUAGUAUACAACAAUGUUUUCCCUACCACAUGCACACAGAAAUAUUCAAAAAUAAAGUCAUGGCAAGUGCACAUACAGAGAAUUGUGUCUUCAAAUAAAUGACGUUCCAUUUUUUAGAGGGUAUAGCAUUGAACACCAAAAUGAUUUAGUAUAUUGUAACCUAAAGGAGAAAUAUUUUCUGAUUAAAAUGUGUUUUUCUUGCAUAUUAUUAUCUUCCUAUUCAUAUUGCACCAAUAUAUUAAGUUUGGCUGGAUUAUCUGUCCAUUUGGCCAUUUUAUAUCAUAUUUUCACACGCUGGUGUUUUCCGUCCGAAGAAGGCGAUUUUAGGCCUGUUGGAGCUUAAAUGUCCCUUUAAGAUUUAAAGCUGUUGUGUUCAAUAUCUGCAACAAAAUACCAAAACAAACCAAAUGGAUAGGCACCUGGGGCUUAUGCGGGGUGGGAAAAGAAUGAAUUUGUUAGAUAUUUUCACUCUAAGCAAUUUUGAUAAUGUCUUUUUAGUGUUUUUUUUUUUUAAUAACCCCAAAAAUGUCAAUUUCAAAGCAAAAAAAAAUCCAAUUUCAUCCAAAACAAUAAACAAAUUAGUAAAAAUGAAAGAUCAAAGAUACUUUGAAGUGUAGAAAUCAAUAAGCUUCCAAUAACUUUUUGUUGCGCAACAAUAAAAGUGUGAAAUCUUGAAAGCGCCUUGUCGCUCGGAGCCCCUUUAUUUACCAGCAGCCAAUGAUAUAUUUUAACACAUAAUGUCAUGGGUGCCUUUAAACUGCAGCAGAUGGCCAAUAUGCACUGCCAGCUCUCAUUUAGAGGUUCAAGAGAAUACAAAAUUUUAUAUUUUGGGCAAGAAAUAAGUACUUUUGACUAUUUUUAUGGUGGCAAUCAGGUGAAAAUGGAGGUUCAUAACCGAGCGAAAGAAAAAAUGCUCAUGUUGGGGGUUUAGACCGGAAGGAAAGGUUAAAAUGAACAAGAUACAUAUAUUUAGGCAAGCAUUAUAAGCUUAGCAAUGAGGUUCCAUGUACUAGCAGGGCCAGAAAGGAGCUCAGAUCAAUGUAGGCUUCCUGAAAGGGGUUUCUAGUACUUCUUCUGGACACACAGCUUCACGCAGAAUUCUCAACACAACAAAUAUCAUCGAUCCAUGUCACCUUUGUAUGCAAAGACACGCGAAUAAGGUCAAUACUUCCCUUACAUCACUGAAUGAGAGAAUCAUGUACCAAAUAAAAAACAAAACUGGUUGCUGAAAGUGCCAAAUUUUGGCAAAAAGAUCCCACUUAGGUAAAUGAUGAAGGGGACACUUGCUGCAACAAUCCUAUGUUUAAGUCCGACGCGACAUCCUUUCAAGCCAGAACAUUAACAGUAAGCGCUAUUGUGAGAAAACAAUACCAAACACAAGCUAAUUGUAGGGUUACAAGUAGCAAAUUAACUCAGCUGUACUGCAUACAUGCUCAGGAACAAGGAUAAACCUGUUAAGUGCCAACUUCCGCUGCCAGCAAAGCACGAGCUUUACGUGUCGGGAUGCGGAACUAUAGAUUCAAACUGAACGGGGAAUUGCACAACGGCAAGGGUUUGAGUGACCACAAACCUGAUUAUGGCAGUAUUUCACACCUUAAGCAUCAUUAAUAUGCUUAUUUGCUUGUGUACAUGAUAAUAAUUUAGUAUUAUUACCUGUUUUGCCAUCAAUAACCCUUAUGCAGUGGCCCUCGGCUUAGUCGCAGACAUUCCUCUACCUGAAAAAGUCAAAAUACCCAAUUGAAAUAGAUAUAAAAUGAAAAAAACACAUGCAUUUAUGUAUUUUAAGUGUAUUUAUAAGAAUAAUAUGUAGUGAUAAAGCUUGUUAUAUUCAUGAUUGUACUAAAUAUGAAGGCUGGCUCAGCUAAGCAUCUGCUGCACUGUCCAAUCUGUAAAAAUGUCCGCCAUUCCAUAUCGGUGAAAUGGGGCUCUGUUUGAAUGUUAAUGCUUUACGCACAAGCUAUUGUUGCGUUACUGGAUCACGGAGACCCAGGCGUUGAAUUCUGACAUCAUGUAGUACAUUAAUGCUACACGGUCAACCAAUAUGCCUUUGAACUUAAGUUGGAAAGCAAUUUAGCCCUUAUUCGGCUAUAUAAGGGUGGAGGGUCAACUUGAAAAACAACUAUUUUGGGUCAAAUCAUCUGAAUUCAUGCAUUUAAUGCACUUAUAAUCUUCUCUUUUGCUAAGAAAUGACCAAAAAUCAGCUUUACCAGUCAUAUUUUGCACUUGCAGAUGAUAUUUCAUUUUUACCUAAAGUUAGUUUAGGUUACAAUAUACCAAAAGAUUUCCUUAACAAAUUCAAUGUAAAAUCAACAACUUCAACGAAAAAUAAAGUCAAACUUUUGCGCGUAGACACCCCCAUACCCAUACCUUUUCUUAAAGAGCAUGCCAAGCCGAAUGGAUUUAAACAAUAAAAAAGAUAGGUCAUGCAGUAUGUAAGAAAGAACUCGACGCGAAUCAACGGUCACUGUUUUAAGGCCACCUUUUUACCGGCUGAUCUCCAGUUGAUGAGGGUUUCCC